rnacentral:rRNA from 1 species
AAGUCGAGCGAACAGAUAAGGAGCUUGCUCCUUUGACGUUAGCGGCGGACGGGUGAGUAACACGUGGGUAACCUACCUAUAAGACUGGGAUAACUUCGGGAAACCGGAGCUAAUACCGGAUAACAUUUGGAACCGCAUGGUUCUAAAGUGAAAGAUGGUUUUGCUAUCACUUAUAGAUGGACCCGCGCCGUAUUAGCUAGUUGGUAAGGUAACGGCUUACCAAGGCAACGAUACGUAGCCGACCUGAGAGGGUGAUCGGCCACACUGGAACUGAGACACGGUCCAGACUCCUACGGGAGGCAGCAGUAGGGAAUCUUCCGCAAUGGGCGAAAGCCUGACGGAGCAACGCCGCGUGAGUGAUGAAGGGUUUCGGCUCGUAAAACUCUGUUAUUAGGGAAGAACAAAUGUGUAAGUAACUGUGCACAUCUUGACGGUACCUAAUCAGAAAGCCACGGCUAACUACGUGCCAGCAGCCGCGGUAAUACGUAGGUGGCAAGCGUUAUCCGGAAUUAUUGGGCGUAAAGCGCGCGUAGGCGGUUUCUUAAGUCUGAUGUGAAAGCCCACGGCUCAACCGUGGAGGGUCAUUGGAAACUGGGAAACUUGAGUGCAGAAGAGGAAAGUGGAAUUCCAUGUGUAGCGGUGAAAUGCGCAGAGAUAUGGAGGAACACCAGUGGCGAAGGCGACUUUCUGGUCUGUAACUGACGCUGAUGUGCGAAAGCGUGGGGAUC